UUGACGGGGAGCACCACAACAGGUGGAGCCUGCGGUUUAAUCGGACUCAACGCCGGGAAACUCACCAGAUAAGACAGCUGAAUGAUAGUCGGGCUGAAGACUCUACUUGACUAGCUGAGAGGAGGUGCAUGGCCGUCGUCAGUUCGUACUGUGAAGCAUCCUGUUAAGUCAGGCAACGAGCGAGACCCACGCCCACAGUUGCCAGCGUACUCUCUGGAGUGACGGGUACACUGUGGGGACCGCCGCUGCUAAAGCGGAGGAAGGAAUGGGCAACGGUAGGUCAGUAUGCCCCGAAUAUCCCGGGCUACACGCGAGCUACAAUGGUUGGUACAAUGGGUAUCUACCCCGAAAGGGGACGGGAAUCUCCUAAAACCAAUCUUAGUUCGGAUUGAGGGCUGCAACUCGCCCUCAUGAAGCUGGAAUCCGUAGUAAUCGCGUUUCAACAGAACGCGGUGAAUACGUCCCUGCUCCUU
rnacentral:rRNA from 1 species